UGGCUUACCUGGAAAAUUCAAUGUAAAUAGUUUUUACAUUGUUUUUAAAAUAUGCCAUUUGUUUACUUACCCCAGUAGCUAUUUCUUUGAAAAGAGAAAUAGCUCAGAGACCCGAUUCAGAAAAAUAAAAUUUUAAAGUUAGAUGCUGUUGCGCAUCAGGCGAAAUGAAAAAGAAAAUGACAAGAAGGAAAUGGAUGGCGUUGCCAUUAUAAAAGAAUAGGGAUCGUUCAAUCGUUAUUUGGCUACGGAUUUAUACAACCAUGGCUGAGUAGCCAUUUCGUAGCUACCCUAUCGCCAUCAAUAAGGUCCAUAAUAAAUAUUGGAAAUUUGAGGAAAAAUGGUGGCAAAAUGAAGCGACUAUAAAAAGGAGGAAAAUAGGAAAAUUGGCAACAUAGUGUUGCAAAAGAUCUAAGCAAGAAGACGGUCCAAAGUAGUUUUUAACACUAAAAAAAAAAGUGAAUAUUUAUAUGUGUGUUUACUUGUUAACAAAAAGUUCCCCAAAAUCACAAUAUUUUUUUUGGUCUCCACUGACUGCUGAGUGGGGAUCUGGUGUUAAAUGCCCGGUCCUUGGGUUUAAAUUGGCCGUUGAAUUUGAAGGUCUCCCUGUUUGGUGUCAUACUUCUGUUUGGUGUCCGUAUCUGAGGCAGCGGAAUUUGGGUCAAAAUUGAUCGGAUGGCCACAAGUUGGAGAUUUUUUUUUGAUCGCAAGUUGUCAUCUCCUAUGGCAUAAAAAUUAAUAUUUUGCCACGUAAUUAAUGACCAGGUAAUAGACACCCUUUUUCUUUAUCCAUGUUUUGGAGCACGGAAGAAUAUCCAGGGAAUUGCAACUAAAAAAGAAAGAGAAAUCGAAAAAUUAAGAAAAUUUAUUUGAAAAAAAAUCAUAAUAAUAAAAAAAAAAAAAAACAAAAAAAAAAAUUAAUUUAAGUAACGAUAGGAAAAUAUUGAUAGACAUGCAAAUUAUUUUAAUAUAAACAUAUUGCAAAUUUAAUUGAAUAGUAUAAGUAUGUGUUGUGAUGUCCUCUCUUAAUGUUUUAAUGUAAGGAUGUUUAACGCCAGUUUCCUUUAAAUUUCACCCAGUACUAUAUGAGCAAUAUCCAGGGAAAGCUAGAGGGUGUAGUCGUAUGUUUCAAUUCGAGCCAAUUUUGGCUAGUGAGGCCGUUGUAAGAGAGCUCCUUUACAGUAGGUAAUAUUUUGUUUAGAAUUUGAGGUCUGAAAAGUGCAGACAAAAUUCCCUAGGUUUCUCACAAGGAAAAUUUGCUAUUUUUCAUAUGUUUACAAUUUUUUUUUAAUCUGGUGUUAGAUUGUCCGUUUUAAAGAUCGACAAAAUUUAUCUGUAUUUAGCUGUAAGUCCUUUCUGUCAAUAAAUAAUGUUGUGAUUAGAAUUAGACUAAAAAUAAA